rnacentral:rRNA from 1 species
AACGAACGCUGGCGGCAGGCUUAACACAUGCAAGUCGAACGCCCCGCAAGGGGAGUGGCAGACGGGUGAGUAACGCGUGGGAAUCUACCGUACCCUACGGAAUAACGCAUGGAAACGUGUGCUAAUACCGUAUACGCCCUACGGGGGAAAGAUUUAUCGGGGUAUGAUGGGCCCGCGUUGGAUUAGCUAGUUGGUGGGGUAAAGGCCUACCAAGGUGACGAUCCAUAGCUGGGCUGAGAGGAUGAUCAGCCACCUUGGGACUGAGACACGUCCCAAACUCCUACGGGAGGAAGCAGUGGGGAAUAUUGGACAAUGGGCGCAAGCCUGAUCCAGCCAUGCCGCGUGAGUGAUGAAGGCCCUAGGGUUGUAAAGCUCUUUCACCGAUGAAGAUAAUGACGGUAGUCGGAGAAGAAGCCCCGGCUAACUUCGUGCCAGCCGCCGCGGUAACAC